rnacentral:rRNA from 1 species
GAUGAACGCUGGCGGCGUGCCUAAUACAUGCAAGUCGAGCGAACAGACGAGGAGCUUGCUCCUCUGACGUUAGCGGCGGACGGGUGAGUAACACGUGGAUAACCUACCUAUAAGACUGGGAUAACUUCGGGAAACCGGAUCUAAUACCGGAUAAUAUAUUGAACCGCAUGGUUCAAUAGUGAAAUACGGUUUUGCUGUCACUUAUAGAUGGAUCCGCGCCGCAUUAGCUAGUUGGUAAGUUAACGGCUUACCAAGGCAACGAUGCGUAGCCGACCUGAUAGGGUGAUCGGCCACACGGGAACUGAGACGCGGUCCAGACUCCUGAGGGAGGCAGCAGUAGGGAAUCUUACGCAAUGGGCGAAAGCCUGGCGGAGCAACGCCGAGUGAGUGAUGAAGGUCUUCGGAUCGUAAAACUCUGUUAUUAGGGAAGAACAAAUGUGUAAGUAACUAUGCACGUCUUGACGGUACCUAAUCAGAAAGCCACGGCUAACUACGUG